rnacentral:tRNA from 1 species
GCCUGGGUGGCUCAGUUGGUUGAGCGUCCGACUUCAGCUCAGGUCACGAUCUCACGGUCCGUGAGUUCGAGCCCCGCAUCGGGCU